CCUACGGGAGGCAGCAGUGAGGAAUAUUGGUCAAUGGACGCAAGUCUGAACCAGCGAUGCCGCGUGCAGGAAGACGGCUCUAUGAGUUGUAAACUGCUUUUGUACGAGGGUAAACGCAGAUACGUGUACUUGUCUGCCAGUACCGUACGAAUAAGGACCGGCUAACUCCGUGCCAGCAGCCGCGGUAAUACGGAGGAUGCGAGCGUUAUCCGGAUUUAUUGGGGUUAAAGGGUGCGUAGGCGGAAUGCCAAGUCAGCGGUAAAAUCGCGGGGCUCAACCUCGAUACGCCGUUGAAACUGGGGUUCUUGAGUGGGCGAGAGGUAUGCGGAAUGCGUGGUGUAGCGGUGAAAUGCGUAGAUAUCACGCAGAACUCCGAUUGCGAAGGCAGCAUACCGGAGCCCAACUGACGCUGAGGCACGAAAGCGUGGGUAUCGAACAGGAUUAGAUACCCCAGUAGUC
rnacentral:rRNA from 1 species